rnacentral:lncRNA from 1 species
GGGAAAGGGAGGAGCCGGUGUCUAGUCAAAGCUCAGCUCUUGUCCCCAGCCCCUCCUCUCCACUCUGCCUCUUCUGAAACUCUGAGGGCAGUUUUGUACCCUACCCCAGCUUCCAAUGUGGUGGGAGACCUCAGCAGUGGGAGAGUUGGGCUGCAGAUGCUCUGAUCCUUUGACACCUGGACUUGAGGUGCCUAAGACCCCAAAACGAAAAAUGAAAGUGCUCCCAGCCCCAAGGAGGUUUUUUUUGCAGGGGGUGAAGAUGCAGCUUCUGGGUCAAGAUGUCUCUGGGCUCUCGGACACGAUUGGAAACAUUGGUUAUAUUACCAAAACUUUGACAAAAUGUCAUAUUUGAGAGAAACAUGCAGUCUCAGAAAUGACAAGACAGAUCUGAGGAACAAAGAUUGGACUUUAUGGAAUAAAGCCACUUGGAAAUAUUGGCCUGGUACCUUGCUUACAGGGUUCCCAGCAACCUUACUAGAAAUUCUUCUUAUUAAAUACGUGGUUACUUGUUUACACAACAUAUGCCUAACUUUGGGAGCCCACCAACAUCACCAUCUUACUAAGAGACUGAUUUAAUGAGAUGGAACAACUUACACCCCUUAUCAGCAGGAGGAAGCUAGAGCAGUUAUCACCCUAUGUCCCUCAAGAUUGCAGAAUGAAGAACAAAAAGGGAGGAUUUGUAACCAUGGGUCUUCUAGGACCAGUUCAACUGACCCCAUCUCUUAUCAAAAGAGUGAUUAAGAAUUGCCUUCCAGAAAAUUCAAAGUCACGUAGCCAGAGCAUGCACAGAAGAAGAAAUCUUGACCUGAAGUGACCGCAGAACCAAAGAUUCUCAUCCCCAUGGGACUCAGAGACCAAGACAUGACCAGAACUUAAACAUCAGACUCUUACCAGAAGCCAGGGGUGCCUCAUUCAGAAAGAACCGGUGUCAAAAUUCCUUCCCCACCUCAUCAUAAAUGUUUAGAACCCUAUCAUAAAAGUUUAGAACUUCAUCAUAAAUGUUCAGAACACUGUCAUAAAUGUUUAGAACUUUACCAUAAAUGCUUGAAGCCUACCAAUGAAAACCUAUCCCACCAGUGUUUCCAUGUGACAGCCUAUUCUCCCUAACCUCUUAAAUUUCACCCCAAAUCCUGAAUCAGGGAGACAUAUCUGAGGCCACAUGGCCCCUGUCUCCCUGCAGAUCAAUCCCACAGAAUAAAGCUGAUUUCUCUCCUAAAA